rnacentral:rRNA from 1 species
UACGUAGGGUGCAAGCGUUAAUCGGAAUUACUGGGCGUAAAGCGUGCGCAGGCGGUUUUGCAAGUCCGGUGUGAAAUCCCCGGGCUUAACCUGGGAAUGGCAUUGGUGACUGCACGGCUAGAGUGUGGCAGAGGGGGGUAGAAUUCCACGUGUAGCAGUGAAAUGCGUAGAGAUGGGGAGGAAUACCGAUGGCGAAGGCCGCCCCCUGGGAUAACACUGACGCUCAUGCACGAAAGCGUGGGGAGCAAACAGG